UGGGGAAUAUUGCACAAUGGGCGGAAGCCUGAUGCAGCAACGCCGCGUGCGGGAUGACGGCCUUCGGGUUGUAAACCGCUUUCGCCUGUGACGAAGCGUGAGUGACGGUAAUGGGUAAAGAAGCACCGGCUAACUACGUGCCAGCAGCCGCGGUGAUACGUAGGGUGCGAGCGUUGUCCGGAUUUAUUGGGCGUAAAGGGCUCGUAGGUGGUUGAUCGCGUCGGAAGUGAAAUCUUGGGGCUUAACCCUGAGCGUGCUUUCGAUACGGGUUGACUUGAGGAAGGUAGGGGAGAAUGGAAUUCCUGGUGGAGCGGUGGAAUGCGCAGAUAUCAGGAGGAACACCAGUGGCGAAGGCGGUUCUCUGGACCUUUCCUGACGCUGAGGAGCGAAAGCGUGGGGAGCGAACAGGCUUAGAUACCCUGGUAGUCCACGCUGUAAACGGUGGGUACUAGGUGUGGGGUCCAUUCCACGGAUUCCGUGCCGUAGCUAACGCUUUAAGUACCCCGCCUGGGGAGUACGGCCGCAAGGCUA
rnacentral:rRNA from 1 species